GCUAAUUCCGUGCCAGCAGCCGCGGUAAUACGGAAGGUCCGGGCGUUAUCCGGAUUUAUUGGGUUUAAAGGGAGCGUAGGCCGGAGAUUAAGCGUGUUGUGAAAUGUAGACGCUCAACGUCUGCACUGCAGCGCGAACUGGUUUCCUUGAGUACGCACAAAGUGGGCGGAAUUCGCGGUGUAGCGGUGAAAUGCUUAGAUAUCACGAAGAACUCCGAUUGCGAAGGCAGCUCACUGGAGCGCAACUGACGCUGAAGCUCGAAAGUGCGGGUAUCGAACAGGAUUAGAUACCCUGGUAGUCCGCACGGUAAACGAUGGAUGCCCGCUGUUGGUCUGAAUAGGUCAGCGGCCAAGCGAAAGCAUUAAGCAUCCCACCUGGGGAGUACGCCGGCAACGGUGCAACUCAAAGGAAUUGACGG
rnacentral:rRNA from 1 species